GAGACCCACGCCAACAGUUGCCAGCUCGUCCUCCGGGAUGGAGGGGACACUGUUGGGACCGCCUCUGCUAAAGAGGAGGAAGGAAUGGGCAACGGUAGGUCAGCAUGCCCCGAAUUAUCCGGGCUACACGCGGGCUACAAUGGGUGGGACAAUGGGUAUCGACACCGAAAGGUGAAGGCAAUCUCCUAAACCCAUCCUUAGUUCGGAUUGUGGGCUGCAACUCGCCCACAUGAAGCUGGAAUCCGUAGUAAUCGUGUCUCAAAAUGGCACGGUGAAUAU
rnacentral:rRNA from 1 species